rnacentral:lncRNA from 1 species
GUAAUUAAUCAUCCCAGGUGAUGUAUCACGAAUUUGGUUAUGCAUGGCACAUAGUUUCUUAUAAGAAAAGUACUUUCAUUUUACUGAACAUGAUUCACUGUGUCAUGAAUCACUAAUAGACUACAUAGUUAUAUGCCACCCUCGCGGAAACUAAAAUACAAACUGAAAGAAACGUACAUUGCCCAUUAUUUAGUACUCGUUUAGUAUGAUAUUAGGAGUCCAGAGUACAGAACCCCAAUCAUGAGAUUAAUAUGUUGCAUAAGGCCAUUUACAGUCUAUUGAAAAUCCACCAAUAAAGUAAACAGUGCAGCCGUCGGAGACGCAACAAUUGGUGCAAUCUGUGUAGGUCUUCGUUCCAUUACAGAUCUUGUACUCGGUCGGCCCCAUGCAAUUUCGUGGGCAAGGCCUGAGAAGCCCAUGCCUGACAGCCUUGACUUCCACAUUUGCUCCCAGAAGAAUCAUUCC